CUUUGUCUUCAGUGGGGUUUGGAUCAAGCCCAAAGCUCAUAAGCAGUUUUCCACCAAGAGUUCCCGGCACUUAUGUCAGUCACUGGCAACAAGGGAAGGGAUAAAUCCAGCAUGGGCUGCUUCAGAUGCCAGGCACAUUCUGCGUGUGUGUGUGUCACAGGGGUGGAUAUAAACUCACACAGUCCGGCUGGGCUCCUGCUAAACUGCAUGACAGCUUGCAAAGGGCAGGCAGCUACAGGGCUGCUUCCAGGACCGACCUCAAAAGAUUUCAGUCUGAAAAGAGCUGGGAUGUUCUGUGCAGUGCCCAAGAAAACCUUUUUCAGGAGCAGCUGCCUGGGCACGGGGAAGGAGCUAGGAUUUCCUCAGCAUCCAACAAGGCAAGGCAGGGGGAAGGCCUGCUCAAGCACAGGAAGGACCCAGGUGCUGGUGUCAUCACCAAACCCUCCGUGAUGGGAGCCCAGCUUUGCCUCCAGCCCCGGCUCUGCACAGUGAGAUACCUCCCAGCAACUGAGCAGUGGCAAAUCAGCCUCAGUGCCACAAACAGGGCCUAGAACAAAUGGCUGGCUGUCCAUGAACUGCUUGGAGGAAAAGGCAGCAGCAGGAUUAUUAUGUGGAUUGGAUCCUGCCCUCAGGGCCAUGGCUGGCCCAGGCACAGCCAGAGAACAGAGCCAGCAUUGUCCAUCCUUCAGUCCACAACCACCGUGCAGAGCACUCACUGUCUGAACUAAUGGGUCUUCAUAGGAUCCUUCUGGUUGGGAGAUGAUAUCACAGAUCGUAUCUGUGUCCACUUUAGGUCUGGACUGUUGCUAAGAGAAAAACAAUUCUUGGCAAAUUCCUCGAAGUGCUUGCCUCCUACAGUUUGGAUGAAGAUGGUUUGUUCAGUAACGACGGGUAGGUGUGAGUUUCUGUCUCUUCGCCUUCUGAGAAUUGUCCUCGCCAGAGCAAAACUGAAGAUGAUAAUGCUCCCAUUAAAAAUGAGGUGAAUGCUCAGGCUAACAUGAGUGGGUGGAAAGGACUUCAAACCAGAUGAAUCGGGGACAGACCUACCCUUGCCAAGACAAACAGCUGCAGAGAGCUGCAGGAAAGAAAAAAGGGCACCGCUGUUCAAAAUGAUUCAGUCACAUGGGGCUGACUGAGGCUGCCUAUCCAUCAAUUUAUAACCAAAACCAAUGGCUUUCAUAUGAAGAAAGAAAGGUGCAUCAUAUGUCCCACAGGAGGACUGCAGAACUGAUAUCAUUAGGACAACAGACUGAUAUUCCAUAGGACAACAGAGAUAUGGGAUGAGCGCAAAGCAGAACGCUCUCACUCUCCUUCCUACAUCUGUCUUCCAUUUGCUUUGCCUCUAUCUGCCUGUUGUUGAUGUUUUCUCACAUUAUCUUGGUCCCCAUGUUCAAGCUGUAUUUCAUCCAGGAGGGCAGGGAGCUCCAGGUGUGAAUGAGGGCUGUGAGCAUGAACUCACUGUCACAGCUAUUGUUGUUAUCAUUCCUCUGAAAACCAGCCUGGUGGAGGUUUAGCUUUGUGGAAUUUGUUCUGCUGUUUUAACUGUAUCCUUGUUAGAUGUGGAAAAUUGAAUGAAAGUGGAAUGAAAAUGUGGAAAGGGGAAUGAAGUGAAGUGCUUUGCACGAUGGCUUGCACCCAAAGGUGCAGCCUUAGCGAGUGAAAUGCUGGCAUGCUGUGGAAUGAGAUUUUGAGGUUGCAAGAUUGGGGUCUGCUGCUCAAAUGAAUCAGGCAUUCAGGACUCGCUGCUCUUCUCUGUAAUGGGAGAAACUGUAUGUUAAAAAAGCCAAUACAGAAUUUUCAAUGCUCUA